GUUAGCUUAGAUAGCGAUGCCGCUAACACGUUAGCUCACACGGGUCAACCCAAAGCACUUUUUUUUUUUUUUUUUGCCCUUAUUUUGUGUUAAACCUUCUAAAAGAGUUCGUUUUUUUUCCAGGCAGUGACUUUUUAUUGUGGAUACUGCCGUCAGUCUGUCACCGCCUGACCUCGUCGAGGCCUUCAAAUUGACUCCAAGAAAUAGACACGUCCACAUUCCCACACAGAACAUAUUCUAGCCACACGUCUUGUCCGUAAACAAACACAAAGCAGCUCCGCUUCUGGCUGGCAAAAGUCAUGGCUCCCGAUACGUUUUUUUGGCAGUCCCUGGCCAACUGUCCCCAAAGCAGUUCACCACAUCCAGGAAAGCUAAGCAGGAAGGUGGACAACUGGCGUCGUCAACCGGUUUACAGAAGGUGACUGAACACAGAUGAAAAGUGCAAAAAGUCACCGUUUUAUUGCCUGCCAACUUGGAAACAGUCACCCCCCACGCUCACCAGACCAAAAACUACAAGAUGAAAGUGCAAAGGGUUAAACUUGAACAAACCCAGGACAAACGGACAUGCGAAGCUUUUGAAUGACAACAUCAGCAACGUUAAAGCGCAAACUACCGCUGUAGGAGAGACGCCGGACCUGCAAAUCGACAUCAUCGCUGAAAAGGAGAGAUGGCAGCGAGACGUCUGUGCGAGGAAAAGAAAACAGAUGCUCCACAGUUCUGCCGCCUACGGAGAGCAGUGGGGAAAAGGUUCGCCGGCAAGUGACCCCAAUUGCGGCCCGGCGCUGCGGCACUCGGGCCGAGCCGGAGCGGUGACAGCGUCUCACCUUCACGGAAGAACAGUCGGUCGGGAUCAACGGAGGCGUAACCCCGAAAUUGAGCUCAUCUCUGCGUUUUCCGAGCGUCCCGUCGCCACUUCUGACCUGUACAAGUCGACGUCUUCAGCUCCGGACGUUCACCUGUACCAGACAACUUACUUACCCCUCCCACGCUUGACUGUGCCACCCCCCCACCCCCCCCCACCUCCUCUUUUACUCGCUGCGGAUCCAUAACAAUGAAACAGGUGACUUUCAUGCUGCUGUCAGGACUGAUCUAAUUUUAGCUGGGUGAAUGAUUGCAAUUGGCUUUGCCUCAUCAGAUAAUUAAUCUAUGUCACCAUUAAUUGGAAAAGAGAAUAAUUACAGGCCGUGUUGACAGAAAUUCUACGCUUCUCCAGAUCCUGAGAUCUAAUUACAACUAGCGAAACCCGAUGACCUUAACUAGCACUUAGCGCACCUUGACCACCGCGUGAGAAUCCGCGCGUUUGAUUCCGGGAUGGCGUCUGGAUUCGCCGCAGAACCGCGGCGGUCGCCGUCACUCGGAGCGGCCGUCUCCCGCGAUCACUUUUCAAUAUUCAAUCUUAAUUUUGCGGAAGUUUAGCAUUUUCAAUGAGCUGGAGAUGAAUGAUUAAUGAAUAAAUUUGAAUGCUUCAUUUUG